UACGUAGGUGGCAAGCGUUGUCCGGAUUUACUGGGCGUAAAGGGCGUGCAGGCGGUUUGUUAAGUUCAGGGUGAAAGCUCCCGGCUCAACUGGGAGAGGUCCUUGGAUACUGGCAGACUUGAGGAGAGUAGAGGAGAGUGGAAUUCCCGGUGUAGUGGUGAUAUGCGUAGAUAUCUGGAGGAACACCGGUGGCGAAGGCGGCAUCCUGGACCAACACUGACACUGAGGAGCGAAAGCCAGGGGAGCAAACGGG
rnacentral:rRNA from 1 species